UCUGCUUGUCACAUUUCAUUGUCGAAAGAGCCCUGGGUCAGUCCAGUACUGGCCCCAAAGAUGUCCCCGUCCUAAGACUGGAUGGAGCCUGUGAAUACGUUACGUUGCGUGGCUGGGGAAUUACGAUUGCAGGUAGAAUUAAAGUUGCCAGUCAGCUGACUUUGGAUAGGAGAUGGCCCUAGAUUAUCGUGGUGGCCCAGCGUGAUCUCAGGGUCCUUAGAGGUGAAAAACAGAGGCCGGAGUGUCAGGGUCAGAGUGGUGCCACGUGAGCAGGACUUGAGCAGCCACUGCUGGCUUUGAAGUGGAGGAAAGGGCUGAGAGCCAGGGGCCUCUAGAAGUUGGAAAAGGCGAGGAAGAGGAUUCUCCCCCGAAGCCUCCGGGAG
rnacentral:lncRNA from 10 species